rnacentral:rRNA from 1 species
GUGUUUCGACACACUAUCAUUAACUGAAUCCAUAGGUUAAUGAGGCGAACCGGGGGAACUGAAACAUCUAAGUACCCCGAGGAAAAGAAAUCAACCGAGAUUCCCCCAGUAGCGGCGAGCGAACGGGGAGCAGCCCAGAGCCUGAAUCAGUAUGUGUGUUAGUGGAAGCGUCUGGAAAGGCGCGCGAUACAGGGUGACAGCCCCGUACACAAAAAUGCACAUGCUGUGAGCUCGAUGAGUAGGGCGGGACACGUGGUAUCCUGUCUGAAUAUGGGGGGACCAUCCUCCAAGGCUAAAUACUCCUGACUGACCGAUAGUGAACCAGUACCGUGAGGGAAAGGCGAAAAGAACCCCGGCGAGGGGAGUGAAAAAGAACCUGAAACCGUGU